ACCUGGGGGCUUCCAGAAUGCUUUCUCACCCAGCUGCUAGCUGGGAGCUGAGCUGUAUUGGUAGUCUUUUCAGCUUGGUGGUCUAAGGGCGGUAGAUGUUCGAAAUGACAGCCGUCCCCUGCCACCACCCCCUCACCAAUCCUGCCUGCUUUCCCCAGGGCCAGUGUCCCAUGAGGACCCAGAAGAGAUGCAGGACUUUUCCCACCUGGCCUGGAAGUGACUCAGCAUCUCUGCUGCCGUCUGUCUGCCUGUCUGUCCAAGACUUCUGGUCGACCAGAGUCCCUGGGCACGUGGGAUCAUAGUUCUGCAACCAUGGAUCAAACCUGCAACCCCUUCAACCACCGCUAACCACCGGAUGACCAGAGAAUGCCCUUGACUGGUGGCUUUAAGUCACUGUUUCGCUGAGCAGCAGCAGGUAACCGGAGGUUUAUGCCGAGAGAACCUCUUUCUGGGACUGGGCUCACCUGACAAGGCUCCCAGCUGCUUCCCUGGCCUGGGGUGUGUCAGGGACAGAGCACAAAGCUCUCCUGCAGCCGCUGGGUGAGGAGGGUUCACCUGGCGACGACUCGCCCGCCUUUCGCCAUUCCUACCUGCUUCUCCCACAGGCUCUUUCUCCCUUGGAGCAGUGCUCAAAGGCUGGUGGAAAACACAUUUGUCACAAAAACAACACUCUGCUCUCAGAGAAGAUCCCACCUCCUCCAGUGUCCCAAUGAAGAGCAAACAACUUAGAUGGGCUCUAGGUCUUUCAUAACCGGGCCUGGGUCGUGAGGCUCUUCUGCCAGCUUUCAUGGAUGGGGACCAUGUUUUCCUGCAUCCUGCCAUUCCUGGCCAUGAAGCCGCCCCUUGGGUAUUCAUUCCUCUGCAGGGGGUGUGUUGUUGACUCGUGUUGAGGGUGUGUUUCCAGGGCACAGUGAAUUCUUUAGACCCCCUCCCACACCCCAGAGGUGUCCACUAUGACCCCACCUCUCAGGGCUGGUGGAGCUGAUUGGGGUGUGUGAGUUUGGGGCAGGGAUGCCAAGCCCAGACUGUGUGAGUGUCUGUCUCUGAGGAUGGUGGGGGAUGGGGAGGUCUGAUGGCUCACAGAGAAGAUGAGCUGCACACACACAGAAAGAGACGCAGGGCUAAGAGUGAGAAGGAAUCCUGCCUGGGUCCCCAGGGCUCCAGCCCUGCCGCCGUUGCUCAGGGCUCCCUGGACCCUGAUGCCGGGCCUCCUGUGCCACUGAUGCUGGAGUCCACUUCUGUCAUUUUCCACCAUGUUGUCAUGCACAGAGCUGCUUUCCCAGAGUCACUUUCCUCGGUUUGUGAUGUGAAAUGGGCCACAAGCCGUCAUCUGGGACCAACUUGCUUGUGUUUGCUGAGCCCAUGGUUAGGUUCAGUCAGACAGAGAUGAGCAGCACAGGGUCCGGCUCUGUGCUCCAUCUUCCCAGUCCCCGUGAGUCGGUAGAGAGCUGCACUGUGGGAAGAUCCUCCAACCCCUCAAAGGACAGGGUGCCAUGGCAACAAUGAAUGCCAGGUCCCGCAUGUACUGAAUUUCCAUGCUUUUAGUUCCAAAGGAGGAAAUUUUAAAAAGCCACCUAAAUUGGCUUUCUCCCUUCAAAGGUUAUGUUCUAUUGAGGGAAAAAUAAAAACAAAGUCACAGAAUUCUCUUUUGCAAGGUACCUUUGCGGUCAUAGUGACAUUUAGAGUGCGUGGAGAGGUCCAAAUAAAAACACAAAAUGUGAAUAAGACUCUGAACUGAUUGGAUGAGGACCAAGUAAUGCUUUUAUUUCAGAUUCCAUCAAUGCCAAGGACAGAGGUUGACUGACAAACUAAUUCAUUCCUCAAGCAAGCAGUGAUGGACUUCCUGCUCUGUCCUAGGAGCCCAGGUCAGACAGAAAGCUGGUGGAGUCUGUUCUUCCACCAGCAGCAUCAACAGAAAUGCAGGUGCCCACUGGCUCUUGCUAGGAACUCAGAGAAGCAGAAGAAAGUGCGAGACACUGCUCACCCCCUCCAGGACUUCAUCAUCCCAGUCGGCCAUGAAAACGUACAUAAAAUAGUAAUAAGCUGCAGCACAAAAACAUAUUCCAAAUUCACAUGGGUGGUGCAGAUGAGACCUAUCUCUGGGACUCCCUGUGGGCUGGGAUGAUCCGGGAAGGCUUCCUGGAGGAGGUGAGCUUUGCCUUGUCCCUUAAAUGAGAGAUUUUUGUUGGGCAGAGAGAUGGAGGGAGGGUAUUCCAAGGAGUGCGUGUUAAAGGGGACCUAGUCUGUCCACAUUUCAGCAGCUUGCUUGACUGGCUCCUUGCCUGGGAAGUCAGGUUGGGUGUGGAUUGUGGUGGCUCAGGGGCUGGACCUUACUCUUCAGGGAAUGGGAAGCCAUGACAAGGUUCAGAAUCAAGAGUGGCGCAUAGGACACCGGGCUCCGUAACGUUCAGCGCACCGGGAGCUGACAGCAUGGCCAGAGCCACGGCGAGGCCAGAUGCCCCAGCAGGAUGAGAAACCCUGGUACUCUCCUGAGGGGUAGAACCCUCUGUAAGUGAUGUAACAAUGAAAGCUGGGGUGGAGAGUCUGAAAUGACCUCUCCCCCUGGGUCUGCAGGGCAUGGUUUUCUUCUGGGAGGCUGACUUUACUAUUUGAUGUGAUGGGGUUCAGGACACACUCCCCCAAAAGACUGCACCCUGACAUAUGGGCCCUCCCAAGCUGGAGGAAUUAGAGAAACGCCAGAAGCAGGCAGUGUGCUCUGACCUUUCACCCCACCCUCCUUCCCUUCUUCCCUGAAAUAGGUCAGAAAACUCCCGUGUGAGAGAUGCCCACACUCUGCCAGGAGGAAGGCAGACAUUUUUAGCACCAGAAAAGGGAAACUGGGAGUCAAGAAAUCAGUGCGAACAAACCCCGUUGAGCUCACUCAUCUUCCCUCUUACUUCUUCACCGCAUGCUGCCCCAGCCCAAACCUCUUGGUGUGGCCGAUUCUUCACUGAUGUGUUGAUUCUUCUUCUACAAGACUCCAGUUCAUUUGCAGAAACCCCAGUGACCACAGGCAUGACCCAGGAGGCCCCAGUGACCACAGCCGUGACCUGGGAGGCUGCAGAAGAGCACGUGAAUGGCCUGAGCCAGGCCACUAUGGUGGCUGAAAAAUGGUGCUGGGCUGCAUCCGCCCACGGGGGAGACAAGAGUAGACGUGUUACGCAGAGGACUUGGGAAACUCAGCUGUCGAGCCUUGCACAUCUCGCGGUGUUGCAGGAGGGGUCAGUACCCUGUGUGUCUGCCCUCCUGGUCACUGUUCUGGGUGUGCUGGGGCCUGCCUGCUGCAAGUACCGGCAGCUCUCCACCAGAGGGCGCUCUCUGGUGUGCUUGGUUAGGGUGGGCAGGUGGAAGUUCGUGUCCCCUGGAUGAUGGCGUGUGAUGGAUACACACCUCACGUCCUCUGCCUUGUCCCAAAGACUGGACAGCUCUGUGCCCUGUUGCACUGUGUCUCCCUGACUGCUCGAUGUGAUGGACCAUUAGUUGCCCACGGGGUGUCCUGAUUCAUCUCAGCUUUUUUUAUUGGGUGCUUCCCUUCCUGGCCUGCUAUCCCCCUUCCUGUAGUGGGACCAGCUUCCAAAUAAACUACUUAC